rnacentral:lncRNA from 1 species
ACAAGCUUGAAUGUGUGUUCUGGAGCUGAAGGAUGCACGGUUGUUAAGCCCCUGUUCUUUUCCGUUGUUUAAUCUAAUGUUCUUUGGAAUAAAAACCUCCCUGCCAAGUAGUACUUGGUUUUAUGCUCAACAUGCUUUGACUGUUGAAAAGAGACCUUUGGCACACAUUGAAGGGAUGGUGAUGGAGAUGCCAAUCCAUGGAAUCAGGUGGCACAGCUAUGUUGGUAGCUAUAGCAGAAGUCUUCUUGGCAAAGAUUCCUCCAGGGAAGGAAGGUACCAUUGGAGAACCAUGCAUGAAGACAGGGAAGAAAUGAUUGGAAUCAUGAAACAUUAAACUGGAAGGAAGCCCUAGGCAAACCUAACUCAUGGGAAAACAGACACCCACAUGUUACCCAGUUUAGUACCAAAACCAAGGCUGGUAUUUGCAUAAAUAUACUUUUCUUCUCUAUCUAAUAUCAAGGCCUUCUUAGUAUUGUUAAUAGGCCUUAAGCUUGGUUUGUCUACAUAGAAAUCAAAAUAACAAUGUCAACCCAUGAAAGAAUUAAAAGAAGUCCCAAACAGUUCUGAUUUCCUCCAAUGUGACUAUUUCUGAUAUAUUAUAAAAUAACAGAAAUCAAACUCAAAGAAUGAACUUUUUGUCUCUAUUUUGCUAAUAAUGGUUAAAGUAAAUGGAUGGUCUUUCUAGUCUUUCCCAAAGGCCCCUAGAUUAAUUGUUAGUGACAUUGCUAGGAAACUCC